rfam:Cephalotus follicularis DNA, scaffold: scaffold1466, isolate: St1.
AAACCAUGAUGAGGACACUCUAAGAUGAGGUCUUUAAAACGUUCCGUACACCUAGAGAAUGAUUCAUUGGGUUUUUGACAAAACUAGAGAAUGUCAUUCCUGAGCUU